rnacentral:tRNA from 1 species
GCCUGGGUGGCUCAGUUGGUUAAGCACCUGACUUCGGCUCAGGUCAUGAUCUCACGGUUUGUGGGUUCGAGCCCUGCAUUGGGCU